GCUUGCACUGGGGAUUAGUGGCGAACGGGUGAGUAACACGUGAGUAACCUGCCCUUGACUCUGGGAUAAGCCUGGGAAACUGGGUCUAAUACCGGAUAUGACUCCUCAUCGCAUGGUGGGGGGUGGAAAGCUUUUGUGGUUUUGGAUGGACUCGCGGCCUAUCAGCUUGUUGGUGGGGUAAUGGCCUACCAAGGCGACGACGGGUAGCCGGCCUGAGAGGGUGACCGGCCACACUGGGACUGAGACACGGCCCAGACUCCUACGGGAGGCAGCAGUGGGGAAUAUUGCACAAUGGGCGGAAGCCUGAUGCAGCGACGCCGCGUGAGGGAUGACGGCCUUCGGGUUGUAAACCUCUUUCAGUAGGGAAGAAGCCGCAAGGUGACGGUACCUGCAGAAGAAGCGCCGGCUAACUACGUGCCAGCAGCCGCGGUAAUACGUAGGGCGCAAGCGUUAUCCGGAAUUAUUGGGCGUAAAGAGCUCGUAGGCGGUUUGUCGCGUCUGCUGUGAAAGACCGGGGCUCAACUCCGGUUCUGCAGUGGGUACGGGCAGACUAGAGUGCAGUAGGGGAGACUGGAAUUCCUGGUGUAGCGGUGAAAUGCGCAGAUAUCAGGAGGA
rnacentral:rRNA from 1 species